rnacentral:rRNA from 1 species
GACGAACGCUGGCGGCGUGCCUAAUACAUGCAAGUUGAGCGCUGAGGGGUGGUGCUUGUACCAACUGGGUUAGCAGCGAACGGGUGAGUAACGCGUGGGGAAUCUGCCUUUGAGCGGGGGACAACAUUUGGAAACGAAUGCUAAUACCGCAUAAAAACUUUAAACACAAGGUUUAAGUGUGAAAGAUGCAAUUGCUUCACCCAAAGAUGAUCCCGCGUUUUCUUAGUUAGUUGGUAAGGGAAAGGCCCACCAAGGGAAUGUUACAAAGCCGACCUGAGAGGGGGUCCGCCCCCACUGGAACGGGGACCCGCUCCAAACCCUACCGGAGGCAGCCGGAAGGGAUUUUCCGCAAUUGAGGGAAGUCUUACCGAGCCACGCCGCGGGAGUGAAUGAGGUUCUCGGGACGUAAAACUCCGUUUAUUGGGGAGAACGAUGGGGAGAGUGGAAAGUUCAUCAAGUGACGGUACCUACUCAGAAAGGGACGGCUAACUACGUG